rnacentral:rRNA from 1 species
GAUGAACGCUGGCGGCGUGCCUAAUACAUGCGAGUCGAGCGAACAGACGAGGAGCUUGCUCCUCUGACGUUAGCGGCGGACGGGUGAGUAACACGUGGAUAACCUACCUAUAAGACUGGGAUAACUUCGGGAAACCGGAGCUAAUACCGGAUAAUAUAUUGAACCGCAUGGUUCAAUAGUGAAAGACGGUUUUGCUGUCACUUAUAGAUGGAUCCGCGCCGCAUUAGCUAGUUGGUAAGGUAACGGCUUACCAAGGCAACGAUGCGUAGCCGACCUGAGAGGGUGAUCGGCCACACUGGAACUGAGACACGGUCCAGACUCCUACGGGAGGCAGCAGUAGGGAAUCUUCCGCAAUGGGCGAAAGCCUGACGGAGCAACGCCGCGUGAGUGAUGAAGGUCUUCGGAUCGUAAAACUCUGUUAUUAGGGAAGAACAAAUGUGUAAGUAACUAUGCACGUCUGGACGGUACCUAAUCAGAAAGCCACGGCUAACUACGU